rnacentral:rRNA from 1 species
UACGGAGGGUGCAAGCGUUGUCCGGAAUCACUGGGCGUAAAGGGCGCGUAGGCGGCUCAUGAAGGCUGUGGUGAAAGUCCGGGGCUCAACCUCGGAUCGGCCGUGGCGACUCGUGGGCUGGAGCACUGUAGGGGCGGGUGGAAUUCCGGGUGUAGCGGUGGAAUGCGUAGAGAUCCGGAAGAACACCAGUGGCGAAGGCGGCCCGCUGGGCAGUGGCUGACGCUGAGGCGCGACAGCGUGGGGAGCAAACAGG